rnacentral:lncRNA from 1 species
UGCAAGGAUGUAGUUAAGACCUUUGUUUUCAGUUGUCGAAGGCAGGAUUUCUGGAACAUACUGAUGUAUUUAUUCUUCCUAUAAACAGAUGCUGAAGAAUCACUCAUUAAUAGUCCAGGGGACUGGCCGGAGCUGCGGCUGGUGGGCGGCUCAGGUCGAUGCUCAGGACGCGUCGAGGUCCUCUACCAGGGGGUCUGGGGCACCGUGUGUGAUGACCUCUGGGACCGACACGAAGCCGAGGUCGUGUGCCGACAGCUGGGGUGUGGACGAGCCGUGUCUGCCCUGGGGAAGGCCCACUUCGGCCCGGGCUCUGGAAAUAUCUUCCUGGACAACCUGCAGUGCUUGGGGAUGGAGCACUACCUGGGCCAGUGUGCCCACUCAGGCUGGUCGGAGCACAACUGCGACCACCAUGAAGAUGCCGGAGUCAUCUGCUCAGGUAGCCUCUUCCCUCUUGGGCAAUAAUUUCUAAUAUUGUGAUUGAAGAUAUUUUGAAAGUAUUCAUCCCACAUGGAAUGUAUCCAUCCGCCCAUUCACUCCUUCUUUCAUAAAAUAGUCCUUGAGCAUCUGCUCUGCACCAAGCCUGGGACACAGACACCCACCCUUGGGUAGCACGAGGUUGCACACAGGAGAUCUUGCAGGUUCAUGUACACCAGCACCGCCCGAGGCAUUACAAUGUGGAAUCCAGGGCCCUGGCCCCAGAGACCACAACUAACUAGCUUGGGCAGGGCUGCUGGAAUCUGCAUUUUCACGAGUAGUCUGGGUGAUUCAGCAAAAGAGGGGCCAUAAGUAAUCCUUCACUGCCUGCCAUGAGGCAGAGAUGACACUGCUGCUGUGCCCUGCCCCCAAGCCCAGGGACCCUGCAAGAGGAAGGCAGAGGAGGGCUGAGUCCUUUCUCCUCACUCCCCACCUGCCCCUUCUCCCCUCCAUCUGCCACCUGCACCCUCGUUACCUGGCCCCCUCCAUGCUUUGGGUUCACUAAAGAGAGUAACCUAUUGCCUUUCUUUAUGCAUUCAGAUGCAGAAGAACUGCCUCCUCCCACACCUCAAGGUAUGUCCACAUUUUGUUCUAGUCCAGACAACUUUCU